rnacentral:lncRNA from 1 species
UUUAUUAAUUAUUCAAUGUGCUAAGAAAGAAGAAAAUAUAUUACUAUAUCAUUUUUUUGUGAACUGUAUUUUAAUGUAAAUGAUUUUCUUUGUAAUUUUAUUUUGUGCAUUUAAAAUUAUUAUUCUAGGAAGAGGUCCAUGGUCUUCACUUAAUAGGCAAAGGAAACCAUCUAACAGGCAAAGGGAUGCAUGAACAAAAAAGGUUAAGAACCCCUGCUCUAAAUAACCCUAUGGAAUUCAACAACAUUAUAUACAGGUACUCAUCACUUAACAACAGUGUUCUGUUCUGUUAUGACUUGGUCAUAGAACGAAUUGGUUGGCAAGUGAAUAACUUGUUCGUUCAUAAGUUUCAAGAUACAACUUGCUUUAUCUCAAAUCUAAAAAAACUAAGCGCUAUAAGCAAGCAACAUUUUUGUUUUCUGUAUAACGUUUUCGGACUUUCGUUUCGGUCCCUCAUCGGUGCAUGGCUGCCGCACGCUGUACAAAA